rnacentral:tRNA from 5 species
UGUGGCAGAAUAGUGCAAUAAAUUUAAGCUUUAUUUAUAAAGUUGAUCUUUCUUUAGA